AUGGUGGAAUUCUCCAGUGUUUUGCUAGUGAUCCUGUGGCUUCAGUUCAUCUGGGUGAGCAGCCAGCAGAAGGAGGUGGAGCAGAGUCCUGAGACCCUCAGUGUUCCCGAGGGAGCCAUCGCCUCUUUCAACUGCACUUAUAGGGACAGUGGUGCUCAGAACUUGAGGUGGUACCGACAGUAUCCCGGGAAAAGCCCUGAGUUUCUGCUUUCUGCCUACUCCAGUGGUGAACAAGAAAAAGGAAGAUUCACAGCACAGCUCAACAGAGCCAGCCGGCAUGUUUCCCUGAAUAUCAGAGACUCCCAGCACAGUGACUCUGCCGUCUACCUCUGCGCCCAACAACCAAAGAAUCUCUUUAAUGACCCUGACACUCACCUCCACCGGUUCAAGGCCGUAGACUUAUAUUUAGACUGUCUCAAUCUUACCCUAUGGAUAUCGAGCAUUUCACAAACUAUGGAGGUCUUAGCCAUAUUCCAGUGUCCAGAAUACUGUCUUCCAUGA